GACGUUAGGAAAGCGAGCGGCGGAUGGGUGAGUAACACGUGGGGAACCUGCCCCAUAGUCUGGGAUACCACUUGGAAACAGGUGCUAAUACCGGAUAAGAAAGCAGAUCGCAUGAUCAGCUUUUAAAAGGCGGCGUAAGCUGUCGCUAUGGGAUGGCCCCGCGGUGCAUUAGCUAGUUGGUAAGGUAAAGGCUUACCAAGGCGAUGAUGCAUAGCCGAGUUGAGAGACUGAUCGGCCACAUUGGGACUGAGACACGGCCCAAACUCCUACGGGAGGCAGCAGUAGGGAAUCUUCCACAAUGGACGCAAGUCUGAUGGAGCAACGCCGCGUGAGUGAAGAAGGUUUUCGGAUCGUAAAGCUCUGUUGUUGGUGAAGAAGGAUAGAGGUAGUAACUGGCCUUUAUUUGACGGUAAUCAACCAGAAAGUCACGGCUAACUACGUGCCAGCAGCCGCGGUAAUACGUAGGUGGCAAGCGUUGUACGGAUUUAUUGGGCGUAAAGCGAGCGCAGGCGGAAGAAUAAGUCUGAUGUGAAAGCCCUCGGCUUAACCGAGGAACUGCAUCGGAAACUGUUUUUCUUGAGUGCAGAAGAGGAGAGUGAAACUCCAUGUGUAGCGGUGGAAUGCGUAGAUAUAUGGAAGAACACCAGUGGCGAAGGCGGCUCUCUGGUCUGCAACUGACGCUGAGGCUCGAAAGCAUGGGUAGCGAACAGGAUUAGAUACCCUGGUAGUCCAUGCCGUAAACGAUGAGUGCUAAGUGUUGGGAGGUUUCCGCCUCUCAGUGCUGCAGCUAACGCAUUAAGCACUCCGCCUGGGGAGUACGACCGCAAUGUUGAAACUCAA
rnacentral:rRNA from 1 species